UGGUGACACAUUUAGCGGACUAAUACUAAUAGCUCGAGGACUUAUCCAAA
rnacentral:rRNA from 3 species